rnacentral:rRNA from 1 species
GGGUUGUGAGGUUAAGCGACUAAGCGUACACGGUGGAUGCCCUGGCAGUCAGAGGCGAUGAAGGGCGUGCUAAUCUGCGAUAAGCGCCGGUAAGGUGAUAUGAACCGUUAUAACCGGCGAUACCCGAAUGGGGAAACCCAGUGUGAUUCGUCACACUAUCAUUAACUGAAUCCAUAGGUUAAUGAGGCAAACCGCCCCAGUAGCGGCGAGCGAACGGGGAGGAGCCCAGAGCCUGAAUCAGCAUGUGUGUUAGUGGAAGCGUCUGGAAAGGCGCGCGAUACAGGGUGACAGCCCCGUACACAAAAGCGCAUGUGCUGUGAGCUCGAUGAGUAGGGCGGGACACGUGGUAUCCUGUCUGAAUAUGGGGGGACCAUCCUCCAAGGCUAAAUACUCCUGACUGACCGAUAGUGAACCAGUACCGUGAGGGAAAGGCGAAAAGAACCCCGGCGAGGGGAGUGAAAAAGAACCUGAAACCGUGUACGUACAAGCAGUGGGAGCACCCUUCGGGGUGUGACUGCGUACCUUUUGUAUAAUGGGUCAGCGACUUAUAUUCUGUAGCAAGGUUAACCGUAUAGGGGAGCCGCAGGGAAACCGAGUCUUAACCGGGCGUUAAGUUGCAGGGUAUAGACCCGAAACCCGGUGAUCUAGCCAUGGGCAGGUUGAAGGUUGGGUAACACUAACUGGAGGACCGAACCGACUAAUGUUGAAAAAUUAGCGGAUGACCUGUGGCUGGGGGUGAAAGGCCAAUCAAACCGGGAGAUAGCUGGUUCUCCCCGAAAGCUAUUUAGGUAGCGCCUCGUGAAUUCAUCUCCGGGGUAGAGCACUGUUUCGGCUAGGGGGCCAUCCCGGCUUACCAACCCGAUGCAAACUGCGAAUACCGGAGAAUGUUAUCACGGGAGACACACGGCGGGUGCUAACGUCCGUCGUGAAGAGGGAAACAACCCAGACCGCCAGCUAAGGUCCCAAAGUCAUGGUUAAGUGGGAAACGAUGUGGGAAGGCCCAGACGGAUGUUGGCUUAGAAGCAGCCAUCAUUUAAAGAAAGCGUAAUAGCUCACUGGUCGAGUCGGCCUGCGCGGAAGAUGUAACGGGGCUAAACCAUGCACCGAAGCUGCGGCAGCGACACUGUGUGUUGUUGGGUAGGGGAGCGUUCUGUAAGCCUGCGAAGGUGGCCUGUGAGGGUUGCUGGAGGUAUCAGAAGUGCGAAUGCUGACAUAAGUAACGAUAAAGCGGGUGAAAAGCCCGCUCGCCGGAAGACCAAGGGUUCCUGUCCAACGUUAAUCGGGGCAGGGUGAGUCGACCCCUAAGGCGAGGCCGAAAGGCGUAGUCGAUGGGAAACGGGUUAAUAUUCCCGUACUUGGUGUUACUGCGAAGGGGGGACGGAGAAGGCUAUGUUGGCCGGGCGACGGUUGUCCCGGUUUAAGCGUGUAGGUGUGUGUUCGCCUCUAAGCAUCAGGUAACAUCAAAUCGUACCCCAAACCGACACAGGUGGUCAGGUAGAGAAUACCAAGGCGCUUGAGAGAACUCGGGUGAAGGAACUAGGCAAAAUGGUGCCGUAACUUCGGGAGAAGGCACGCUGACACGUAGGUGAAGUGAUUUACUCAUGGAGCUGAAGUCAGUCGAAGAUACCAGCUGGCUGCAACUGUUUAUUAAAAACACAGCACUGUGCAAACACGAAAGUGGACGUAUACGGUGUGACGCCUGCCCGGUGCCGGAAGGUUAAUUGAUGGGGUCAGCGCAAGCGAAGCUCCUGAUCGAAGCCCCGGUAAACGGCGGCCGUAACUAUAACGGUCCUAAGGUAGCGAAAUUCCUUGUCGGGUAAGUUCCGACCUGCACGAAUGGCGUAAUGAGUCUCCACCCGAGACUCAGUGAAAUUGAACUCGCUGUGAAGAUGCAGUGUACCCGCGGCAAGACGGAAAGACCCCGUGAACCUUUACUAUAGCUUGACACUGAACAUUGAGCCUUGAUGUGUAGGAUAGGUGGGAGGCUUUGAAGUGUGGACGCCAGUCUGCAUGGAGCCGACCUUGAAAUACCACCCUUUAAUGUUUGAUGUUCUAACGUGGACCCGUAAUCCGGGUUGCGGACAGUGUCUGGUGGGUAGUUUGACUGGGGCGGUCUCCUCCUAAAGAGUAACGGAGGAGCACGAAGGUUGGCUAAUCCUGGUCGGACAUCAGGAGGUUAGUGCAAUGGCAUAAGCCAGCUUGACUGCGAGCGUGACGGCGCGAGCAGGUGCGAAAGCAGGUCAUAGUGAUCCGGUGGUUCUGAAUGGAAGGGCCAUCGCUCAACGGAUAAAAGGUACUCCGGGGAUAACAGGCUGAUACCGCCCAAGAGUUCAUAUCGACGGCGGUGUUUGGCACCUCGAUGUCGGCUCAUCACAUCCUGGGGGUUGAAGUAGGUCCCAAGGGUAUGGCUGUUCGCCAUUUAAAGUGGUACGCGAGCUGGGUUUAGAACGUCGUGAGACAGUUCGGUCCCUAUCUGCCGUGGGCGCUGGAGAACUGAGGGGGCUGCUCCUAGUACGAGAGGACCGGAGUGGACGCAUCACUGGUGUUCGGGUUGUCAUGCCAAUGGCACUGCCCGGUAGCUAAAUGCGGAAGAGAUAAGUGCUGAAAGCAUCUAAGCACGAAACUUGCCCCGAGAUGAGUUCUCCCUGAGACUUAGAGUCUCCUGAAGGAACGUUGAAGACGACGACGUUGAUAGGCCGGGUGUGUAAGCGCAGCGAUGCGUUGAGCUAACCGGUACUAAUGAACCGUGAGGCUUAACCUUACAACGCCGAAG